AUCUACAACAAUACCACCCUGAAUGUGCCUGAUCUUGACUGAUUUUGGAAGCUAAGCAGGGUCAGGCAUUGUUAGUACUUGGAUGGAAGACAACUAAUCAUUGAUGUUC
rnacentral:rRNA from 1 species